rnacentral:rRNA from 1 species
AACGCACCUUGCGCUCCUUGGUAUUCCGAGGAGCAUGCCUGUUUGAGUGUCAUUAAAUUCUCAACCUUAUCAGCUUUUGUUGAUAAUGGCUUGGAUGUGGGGGUUUCUUUGCUGGCUUCUUAACGAGAUCAGCUCCCCUUAAAAUUAUUAGCUGGUUGCGUUGUGCAAACUGUCUAUUGGUGUGAUAAUUAUCUACGCCGUGGACUUUCUGCUAGUAUUUUAGCACCGCUUCUAACUGUCCGUUGACUCGGACAAUAUAUAUGACAAUUUGACCUCAAAUCAGGUAGGACUACCCGCUGAACUUAA